AGUAAACAAAGAUGGGGCAUAGAAGCAGAACCGAGUGGCAGCAGACCAGGAUGCAGCAGCAGACUGAACCAGGACUGAAACCAUCUCAUUUUUGCAGAUUUCCAUUUACAAAGCACCAAAAAGUCAAAGGUGAACGUUACAUUGGCAAAUCUGUUAGUAUAUAAGGCUCUUUUUAAUAAACAGCUUAUAUGUGAGCUGCCAGCAGAACUGUAGAACUGAAAAAAUAUAAGAGUAGAACUUCAGAUCCUGAGUGUGUAAGGACAGGGAAGGAUCAGCUUUAUUUCACAUUUCAGGGAUAAACCUUAUUGUCAAUGGAAAUUGUACUUAGUAGUCAGUAUAAUCUUUUAAUGAUACAAGUUUCCAUAUAUGCUUAGAGGUGUAUAAUCGAUUGUGUAGUGAUAGAGUGUGUGGUCUUUAGAGGGGUGCAGGGGCUUUGUGUGCAUUCCAGAGUGUUCUGGCAUCCACACCCACAUCCUCCAAGCAUGGGAAAAGGGCAUAUCUUCUCUUAUUGUUUUAUGAUAGGAUAAACGUAUCUAUGUCUGUUUUUAGCUAAGUGCCUUUUGUUUAGAUGAACUGUUGGACUUCCAGACCAGCAGGUUUAGCGAAGUCUUUAUGGGGUCACACACACACACACACACACACACACACACACCCAAUGAUGUAUAAAUAAAGACCAGGGCAGUGGCACGGUGCGAGUCUCAGAGCCCGCACUUCUGUGCGAGUGCUGUGACUGCCCUUGCUUGCAAGUAACUAACUGCAGUGUGUGUUUCUCCUCUCUGAUUCGAAGCUGAAGAAGUGUCUUAGAAUACAUCUCUUGGCACUUAUAUUUCAUUUCAACUUUCUGUUGACUUUGACUUUAUAGUGACUGAUUAAUUUUGUUUCAUAAUAACGUUCAAAAAUUAUGAUUUGUUCACUGUAGGAACCGUGACCACGUCACAGAGCUCUAUAAACUAUACAGUUUUCAUUGUGUCUUAUUUUUGUUACUCUGCUUUAAAAAAAUCAGAAUAAAAGACAUAAAAUAUAAAUAUUAAUUAAAAAAACAAACUCAAAGGCAGAAAUUCCAACACUCAGAAAGUAAAGCUGCAGUUAACAACUAAAUGAAAAAGUAACAUUUUCCCAAACUGCAUGUUUUUUUUGGGUUUUUUUACUUUCUGCUUUGUUAAUGAAACUGUAUCGAUAACAUGUUAAACUACUAAGACCAACCAUUGUAGUACAUAAUCACCUGUGAUAACUGCCAUUUAAAACCCUAAACUGAAGUAUCUCAUAUGCCUGUGUGUUAAUUGCCUCGGCCAUGGCAGUGAACUGAAAACUUCAAGGGAAAGCCAAAAUACUUGUGGAACGAUCACUCAGGGAUCUUUGUGUUCAUCUGUGUGUCCAGUUUUUCUGCUGCUUUUUAUUUUUUUGGUUCAUGCAUUAGGUGUGUUGUUCAGUUUUGUUUUACCAAAUGUUAGAGCUCAUACAUGUGUUUUAAACGGGUCAUAUGUACAUUUAACUCAGUGCUUGGACUCACUGGGUAUUUAUGUAUUAUCAUCUGUCUUUUCUUUGAUUGUCAUCCAACCUAAAUAAACCAGUCCUGUCUCUGAG